GGCCAGCAGCCGCGGUAAAACGUAGGUGGCAAGCGUUAUCCGGAUUCACUGGGCGUAAAGCGCACGCAGGCGGCUCGGUAGGUAGGGCAUGAAAUCUCCUGGCUUAACUGGGAGAGGUUGUCCUAUACCGCCGGGCUUGAGGAUGGGAGAGGGAAGUGGAACUGCCGGUGUAGUGGUGAAAUGCGUAGAGAUCGGCAAGAACACCAGUGGCGAAGGCGGCUUCCUGGCCCAUUCCUGACGCUCAGGUGCGAAAGCUAGGGGAGUGAACGGGAUUAGAAACCCCGGUAAUCCUAGCCGUAAACGAUGUGCACUAGGUGUCGGGGGUAUUGACCCCCUCGGUGCCGAAGCCAACGCGUUAAGUGCACCGCCUGGGGACUACGGCCGCAAGGUUAAAACUCAAAGGAAUUGACGGGGGCCCGCACAAGC
rnacentral:rRNA from 1 species